UGGAACUCGGCAAAUUACCCCCGUAACUUCGGGAGAAGGGGGGCCACAGACCGUGAAACCCCAUGCGGGUGGCGGCGGUAGGUGGCCGCAGAGACCAGGGGGAAGCGACUGUUUACUAAAAACACAGGUCCGUGCGAAGUCGUAAGACGAUGUAUACGGACUGACGCCUGCCCGGUGCUGGAACGUUAAGGGGACCGGUUAGUCCGCAAGGGCGAAGCUGAGAACUUAAGCGCCAGUAAACGGCGGUGGUAACUAUAACCAUCCUAAGGUAGCGAAAUUCCUUGUCGGGUAAGUUCCGACCUGCACGAAUGGCGUAACGACUUCCCUACUGUCUCAACCACAGGCCCGGCGAAAUUGCACUACGAGUAAAGAUGCUCGUUACGCGCGGAAGGACGGAAAGACCCCGGGACCUUCACUAUAGCUUGACAUUGGUACUCGAAUUGAAUUGUGUAGGAUAGGUGGGAGACUAUGAAGCUCGGACGCCAGUCCGGGUGGAGUCAACGUUGAAAUACCACUCUGUUGAAUUUGGGUAUCUAACUUCGGACCGUGAUCCGGUUCAGGGACAGUGUCUGGUGGGUAGUUUAACUGGGGCGGUUGCCUCCUAAAAUGUAACGGAGGCGCCCAAAGGUUCCCUCAGCCUGGUUGGCAAUCAGGUGUUGAGUGCAAGUGCACAAGGGAGCUUGACUGUGAGACUGACAGGUCGAGCAGGGACGAAAGUCGGGACUAGUGAUCCGGCACCGGCGAGUGGAAGCGGUGUCGCUCAACGGAUAAAAGGUACCCCGGGGAUAACAGGCUGAUCUUCCCCAAAAGUCCAUAUCGACGGGAUGGUUUGGCACCUCGAUGUCGGCUCGUCGCAUCCUGGGGCUGGAGUAGGUCCCAAGGGUUGGGCUGUUCGCCCAUUAAAGCGGCACGCGAGCUGGGUUUAGAACGUCGUGAGACAGUUCGGUCCCUAUCCUCCGCGCGCGCAGGAGACUUGAGAAGAGCUGUCCCUAGUACGAGAGGACCGGGACGGACGAACCUCUGGUGUGCCAGUUGUCAUGCCAAUGGCACGGCUGGUUAGCUACGUUCGGAAGGGAUAACCGCUGAAAGCAUCUAAGCGGGAAGCCUGCUUCAAGAUGAGGUCUCCCACCCCCUCGAGGGUUAAGGCCCCCAGCAAGACCACUGGGUUGAUAGGCCAGAAGUGUAAGCCUGGUAACAGGUUCAGCCGACUGGUACUAAUAGGCCGAGGACUCGA
rnacentral:rRNA from 1 species